rnacentral:rRNA from 1 species
AACGAACGCUGGCGGCAGGCCUAACACAUGCAAGUCGAACGCCCUAGCAAUAGGGAGUGGCAGACGGGUGAGUAACACGUGGGAACGUGCCCUUCGGUUCGGAAUAACUCAGGGAAACUUGAUCUAAUACCGGAUAAGUGCGAGAGCAGAAAGAUUUAUCGCCGAAGGAUCGGCCCGGUUCCGAUUAGCUAGUUGGUGAGGUAAUGGCUCACCAAGUCGACGGUCGGUAGCUGGUCUGAGAGGAUGACCAGCCACACUGGGACUGAGACACGGCCCAGACUCCUACGGUAGGAAGCAGUGGGGAAGAUUGGACAAUGGGCGUAAGCCUUAUCCAGCCAUGCCGCGUGAGUGAUGAAGGCCCGAGGGUUGUAAAGCUCUUUCGCCAGGGACGAUAAUGCCGGUACCUGGAUAAGAAGCCCCGGCUAACUUCGUGCCAGCAGCCGCCGUAA